UACGUAGGUGGCAAGCGUUGUCCGGAAUUAUUGGGCGUAAAGCGCGCGCAGGCGGUCCUUUAAGUCUGAUGUGAAAGCCCUCGGCUCAACCGAGGAGGGUCAUUGGAAACUGGAGGACUUGAGUGCAGAAGAGGAAAGUGGAAUUCCAAGUGUAGCGGUGAAAUGCGUAGAGAUUUGGAGGAACACCAGUGGCGAAGGCGACUUUCUGGUCUGUAACGUGACGCUGAGGCGCGAAAGCGUGGGGAGCAAACAGG
rnacentral:rRNA from 1 species